CUCUAAGGGGACUGCCGGUGAUAAGCCGAGAGGAAGGUGGGGAUGACGUCAAGUCCUCAUGGCCCUUACGGGCUGGGCUACACACGUGCUACAAUGGUGGUGACAGUGGGCAGCGAGCACGCGAGUGUGAGCUAAUCUCCAAAAGCCAUCUCAGUUCGGAUUGCACUCUGCAACUCGAGUGCAUGAAGUUGGAAUCGCUAGUAAUCGCGGAUCAGCAUGCCGCGGUGAAUACGUUCCCGGGCCUUGUACACACCGCCCGUCACACCAUGGGAGUUGGUUUUACCCGAAGGCGCUGUGCUAACCGCAAGGAGGCAGGCGACCACGGUAGGGUCAGCGACUGGGGUGAAGUCGUAACAAGGUAGCCGUAGGGGAACCUGCGGCUGGAUCACCUCCUUUCUAAGGAAGC
rnacentral:rRNA from 1 species